AUGAAUCAGCUGAUUGGACAUAAAGAAGUUCUGGUUCUGACCAAACUGGAGCUCCAGCCGUCAUUCGGUUUAUCAGACGUUUUAGGGACGAAAGCUUCACAUGUCCUCUCUUUGUCCCCUGUCUCUCUCAGUGACGGGAUGACCGUCUUCAGUCCCGUGUCCUCGGCUCGGUACAGGCGCAGCAGCGUGUCCAUCAACCCCAGCUGUCCUUCACAGCUCGUCCCUUUGUCUCCGUUCUCUCUGACUGGAGACCACAAGAGACAGGAGGAGAACAUGGAGAUGACACUCAGAGGAAGUCUGCAGAGACUCAGUGGUUCCAGUCUGGUUCCAGUUCCUCCGGUGGCUCAGUGGACCGAUCAGACCUCAGUGUGGUUUCAGUCACAGGACAGCGGCGUCACACCUAACUCCUCCCCCAGUCCCACCAGGAGGUUCAGACCGGCAGUAAGAUGGCCGCCGCUAACGCCGCUGAAGAGGAAAGGGGGGGCAGAGUCUGACGGACCUCCAAAGAAGCUCUUUGUUGCCGGGGUAACAGACCCCGCCCACCGCAGUAGCUACACAGUCAGUGUCUCUCCGUCGGCGGCGGACUCUCCACCGACAGGAGGCGUCAGUCCUCAGUCCCUGUCUCCGCCCCCCUCCUUCACCCCCUUCAGCUCCCAGCAGCACCCUGGGCACUAA
rnacentral:lncRNA from 1 species